rnacentral:rRNA from 1 species
GUUCCUACGGGAGGCAGCAGUGAGGAAUAUUGGUCAAUGGGCGCAGGCCUGAACCAGCCAAGUCGCGUGAGGGAAGACUGCCCUAUGGGUUGUAAACCUCUUUUAUAAGGGAAGAAUAAUGACUACGUGUAGUCAGAUGCCCGUACCUUAUGAAUAAGCAUCGGCUAACUCCGUGCCAGCAGCCGCGGUAAUACGUAGGUGGCAAGCGUUGUCCGGAUUUACUGGGUGUAAAGGGCGUGCAGCCGGGCUGACAAGUCAGAUGUGAAAUCCCGCGGCUCAACCGCGGAAC